rnacentral:rRNA from 1 species
AUUGAACGCUGGCGGCAUGCCUUACACAUGCAAGUCGAACGCAGCGAGCUUGCUCGGCUGCGUGGCGCACGGCUGAGGAACACGUGGGUAUCAACCUCGGAGCGGGGGAUACCUCGUCGAAAGACGAGACAAUCCCGCAUACGAUCGGGCAACCGAUGAAAGCUCUCGGGCGCUCCGGGACGAGCCUGCGGCCCAUCAGGUAGUUGGUAGGGUAACGGCCUACCAAGCCGGUGACGGGUCCCUGGUCUGAGAGGACGACCAGGCAGACUGGGACUGAGACACGGCCCAGACUCCUACGGGAGGCAGCAGCAAGGAAUUUUCCCCAAUGGGCGCAAGCCUGAGGGAGCAACGCCGCGUGCAGGACGACGGCCUUCGGGUUGUAAACUGCUUUUGGGGGGGAAGACACAGACGGUACCCCCCGAAUAAGCCCCGGCUAACUCCGUGCCAGCCGCCGCCGUAACAC